rnacentral:misc_RNA from 1 species
UGUAUGUUCAUAUUGUUAUGGAGCUUUGCUCUGGUGGAGAGUUAUUUGAUAGAAUCAUCCAGAGGGGUCAUUAUAGCGAGAGGAAAGCAGCUGAAUUGACGAAAAUUAUUGUAGGUGUUGUUGAGGCUUGCCAUUCACGGGGUUAUGCAUAGAGAUCUAAAGCCAGAGAAUUUCUUGUUGGUGAACAAGGAUGAUGACUUCUCUCUCAAAGCCAUUGAUUUUGGACUUUCUGUAUUCUUCAAACCAGGUCAAGUUUUCACAGAUGUGGUUGGAAGCCCAUAUUAUGUUGCUCCUGAGGUACUUCUCAAGCAUUAUGGGCCUGAAGCAGAUGUAUGGACAGCUGGGGUCAU